UACGUAGGGUGCAAGCGUUGUCCGGAAUUAUUGGGCGUAAAGAGCUCGUAGGCGGUUUGUCGCGUCUGCUGUGAAAACGCGAGGCUCAACCUCGCGCCUGCAGUGGGUACAGGCAGACUAGAGUGCGGUAGGGGAGAUUGGAAUUCCUGGUGUAGCGGUGGAAUGCGCAGAUAUCAGGAGGAACACCAAUGGCGAAGGCAGAUCUCUGGGCCGUAACUGACGCUGAGGAGCGAAAGCAUGGGGAGCGAACAGG
rnacentral:rRNA from 1 species